UGUGAUGCGGGCGGUUCGCCGCCCGUGACUCUGCGAGAAGUCCAUUGAACCUUAUCAUUUAGAGGAAGGAGAAGUCGUAACAAGGUUUCCGUAGGUGAACCUGCGGAAGGAUCAUUGUCGAGACCGAAAUACAUCGAGCGAUUUGGAGAACCGGUCAGAUUAAGCGGUGGCCAUUGCCUCCGUUAUAAAAGCCGUCCAAGUUGUUACCUCCUCCCUCGGAGGACGAGGAUGCGAUAAGGAUGGAUGAACACUCAAAUCGGCGCAGCAUCGCGCCAAGGGAAAAAUUGAAACACUUGCCUUCAAAUGGGUUUGGUGGCAUGGGGUGCUGUAGCAUUUCAUAUGGAUGUACACGACUCUCGGCAAUGGAUAUCUCGGCUCUCGCAUCGAUGAAGAGCGCAGCGAAAUGCGAUACAUGGUGCGAAUUGCAGAAUCCCGCGAACCAUCGAGUCUUUGAACGCAAGUUGCGCCCGAGGCCAUCCGGCCAAGGGCACGUCUGCCUGGGCGUCAAUCGCUAUGUCGCUCUAUGUCGUAUUCGCCCCUUGAAGGAUGGGGCUGGAGAUGGCUUAGGUGUGUAGUUUGGCUCAUCGUGCCCCUCGGUGCGGCGGGCUGAAGAGUGUGUCAUCUUUUCAUUGGCAACGAACAAUAAGGGGUGGAUUAAAGUGAGGCCUAUGCUAUUGUGUCGUGUAUGCCUGAGGGAUGAUUAUACAUAUUAAUGUGAUCCCAAAUUAUGCGUCGAUCCGUGGAUGGCGUUUAGAGUGCGACCCCAGGAUGGGCGAGGCCACCCGCCGAGUUUAAGCAUAUCAAUAAGCGGAGGAGAAGAAACGUUUAAGCAUAUCAAUAAGCGGAGGAGAAGAAAC
rnacentral:rRNA from 1 species